rnacentral:rRNA from 1 species
AUUGAACGCCGGCGGCAGGUCUAACAGAUGCAAGUCGAGCGGAGCGGCGGACGGGUGAGUAAUGCCGAGGAAUCUGCCGGGUAGUGGGGGAUAACGUCCGGAAACGGGGGCUAAUAGCGCAUAAGAUCAGAUGAGCCCAGGUCGGAUUAGCUAGUUGGUGGGGGAAAGGCCGAGCAAGGCGACGAUCCGUAACUGGUCUGAGAGGAUGAUCAGUCACACUGGACAUGAGACACGUUCCAGACUCCUACGGGAGGCAGCAGUGGUGAAUAUUGGACAAUGGGCGCAAGCCUGAUCCAGCCAUGCCGCGUGUGUGAAGAAGGUCUUCGGAUUGUAAAUCACUUUAAGUUGGGAGGCGUUACCAACAGAAUAAGCACCGGCUAACUUCGUGCCAGCAGCCGCGGUAAUAC